AUUGUUACAGAUGUAGACACUUCAUGACAAACAUAUCGUGACAUAGAUGAGGAAACAUACAAGGAAACACAGAAUAAUGAUGCAGGGCCAGCAGAAGUUGGGUGUGCAAGUGAUGAGUUGAUUCCAAGAUCAAUGCGACUACUUUGCUACCAGCUUUAUAAAAGACUGCUUUGCAACACAAUAUAGAUUCUUGUAGGCCUCUUUUCCAACCCUGGAUUUAAAUCACCUGCACGGAUGUGGAGAGAUAUUGUUAUUAGAGACUGUGAGGCACUUUGGGUCAAAGUAAGUCAUCCAGGAUUUGAGUGAUCGGUGAAUGGAUCUGAGAAAGGGAUGAAAUUUGCAGCAACAGUAAAGAAAUUGUGACAAGAAUUGAAGGAAAUAGAGAACUUUGGAUGACAAGCACCACAAUAGAAGUUCUCAGUAAGAAGACAGCAUGCAAGAAGCCAAGAUUGGGAAUCCAGGAGACUAGAGAAAACAAAAUGCAAAAGCAGAUUCUCUCCAAGUGUCUGUAUGAAAAACUUAAAACAGUUCUGUAUUGUUAUGAUUUGGAAUGAAAAUAAAUAAUAUGACAGCAUAUUAUCCUGAAUAGCUCUAUGUCUGUAUUUGAAAAUGUGAAAAGCGUUUGUCAAUUUUUCCCAUUACAGUAUGUUGAUGCACAAAUAAAUCAUCAUUGAUGAGUUUGUAAA